rnacentral:rRNA from 1 species
UGGGGAAUUUUGGACAAUGGGGGCAACCCUGAUCCAGCCAUUCCGCGUAAGUGAAGAAGGCCUUCGUGUUGUAAAACUCUUUCGCAAGAGAAGAAAUCUUACUAUCGAAUAAAUAGUAAGGAUGACGGUAUCUUGACAAGAAGCACCGGCUAACUACGUG